rnacentral:tRNA from 1 species
UGGGGUAUCGCCAAGCGGUAAGGCAACGGACUUUGACUCCGUUAUUCGUAGGUUCAAAUCCUGCUACUCCAGCCA